AAAUGUCAGGAUCAGUACCCCCUUAUGUAUGAAUAAUAUGUGUCUAUGUUUAAGCCUUCAGAAAAAAAUGAUAAUACGACUGUGAAUGUGUCUACUCUGACACACAUCACUCUGUGCCUUUUUCCCUUUGAAACGUCAAGACUUCCACAAGAGCCCCUCUCUCUUUCUCUUCCCUUUAUUUGCAGCUGUUGCCGGCUGCAAUUCAUACUCCAUCCUUCUGCUGCCUUCCUCCACCCAAAAACCUCUCUCUUAGAGCCAACAACUUCAUCUUCUUUCCCCCUCUCUCUCCUUCUCUCUCUCCCUCUUUCUCAAUAUCUCACACCAUUGGGCCUUAGUGACUGGCAGCCAAAUAACUUUAUACAACUGACAAUUUCAGUGUCAGCUGCCUCUCUACUCCCCCAGUGCAUUGCAUUCUUACAGAGACACAUUGUGACAGGAAGACCACUCCUCUCUAUGGGCCUUUUUAAGUGUUUGUGUGUGUAUGUGUGUGUGUGUGUGUGUGUGUGUGUGUGUGUGUUUGUGUGUGUGUGUGUGUGUGUGUGUGUGUGUGUGUGUGUGUGUAGGGGUGUGUGUAGGGGUGUGUGUGUGUGUGUGAAAAUGUCAAAAUAUUUGUUUCUUACCAUCUAUACGUGCUUACGUGUGUCUGUCUACGCGUGUGACGUACGAGUAUGUCUCAGCGGUUAGUGGGAGUGCCUGCGUGUUGCUUACAGAGUCUGACGGGAUGGCUGCUGUUGAUUGUAUUCUGCCGCACCGCACCCCCCUUCCCCAAGCAAAAGCUCACAGUGCAAGGGGAGAGAUAUUGCUCAACCACACACAAAGACACAGGCUCUUAUAUGGCUCCCAGCUGCAUGAAGCUGGCCUGUGCUCUUGGUACUUGAGCAGGCUGGAAUGUCUGGAGUGCAACCCCACUAACACUAGUCACCAACAACAACCGCUACCCUCUUUGGAGACAAGUGCAGUCUGUGGGACAGACUCAAACCUGCCCUGAGGAGGAAUAGCUUGAAUUCCAAAAGGGAGCCACAACAGGAAGAUGAUAUAGUCUGCUUAACCUAAAACACACACCUGACUCCUAAAACUGUUUUAUUUGCCUUCAGUUGGCAGAUUUUCAUGGUUGUAUUAGGCAGGUUUACUAGUUUGGUCAUGUAGUAAUCAGUUUUCCCCAGCCACUAUGGUGAGACGUGAUAACCAGCUAUAAUAGACAGUAACCCGUUUUUGACACAGGACACAUGAUCUGGAUCAAUACAUUCUGGAAAUUCUAAAAUGUCACUGUUAAUCCAUCUAUAUACACAUUCAUGGUCAGGAGGACAAGUGAGAAGUUUCACAGAACAGAAGAAAAAAAAUCAGUGUUUUUCUUCUUUUAAGGCAACACACAACAUUUUGACACUUUUUGAGGUGUGGUUUUAUAGGCAACUAGUUUUGGUAUCAUCCUCAAAUUAGUUUUGAUAGCAUGUGGUCAUGUGAAGGACAGAUAAACACCUGUGACUUUCCCACUAGCCAUCCAGGAUAUGCACUAUGUAGUUCUGUGUUUCGGGCUGGAACACCCGGCAAAAAUUGAAGAAAAGCUUACUCAGCAUGACAUUGCUAGCUAUACUGCGAAAAGACACCAUAGUGUGUUGGCAAGCUUCUAUCACUGCCAACUGGGCUGUUGGUGGUGUUUGCAAGGUUUUUGCAUGUCUUUUAGGUAGUUAGCUUGCAAGUUUUGGAACAGAACUACUUAUUGCUGCUUUAAGAAGGCUUUUGAGAAGGCUUGGUGUACAGAUUGUGGUAAAAUAAGGGGCGGUUGGCCUAAGGAAGAUAAUUUGCAAUCUCCAGGUGCCACAAACAUCACAGCCGAUCUAUUAACAGCGAGCUUAUACACCCACUCAACUGUUUCAAAGCAUAGCAUUACUUAUUUCAGAAACACACUUUCACGUAUUUAUGUAAGUUCCAAUACAAUUUUCUGGUGUUAUUUGCCCUGUUUCAAAACCAGGAGAUUAACGAUGUGGGGUACCGCUGACACCGAGAACUAUGUAGCUAUAAUCAGUGCAGUCUGCAAACUGUCUUCAAAAAGUUAGUAGGCUAUUGUAUUAAAGUCUAGCCUGCUCAGUUAAAUCACUUUCUUCAAAUAAAGUUGUUACACAACCACGACACAGACAGAGUAUUGAUCAUUCAGAAAAGAUGCCAGAGCGAAAAGGACCUUCUAUUUUAAAACACUUUCACUGUAAAAAUGCAGUUCCAAAGUAGAUCUCCCUCUCUUCGUUAUGCAAUUGUAAUACACGUGUAGCGUAGAUCUACAGUGGCAACAUCUGUGUCGAGUCCUACAGACACGAAGAUGUCAUAAGUGGGCAAAAUUGUUUACAGAUAACACACACAUAAGCAGCUCAAAUGUCUAACCGAAUACUAUUAUUGGGCGGGCUUACCUUCAAUGCUCAUUCGUCUCAAGAAUCGUUUCGGCUAUGCGCCACGUACGCCAGCAGCUUGGUUCUGAGGUUCUGCUAUCAGUCGCUUGUUUUCAAGUCUUUUGUUUGAGCAAUAUUUAUGAUCUCGGUUUAAGAAAAAAAAGCUUCAUUUAAGAAAACAGGUUUCGUUAAAACUCUUGCGUGGACUACGAAUCUUCUGAUCUGUGCGUUUAGAACAGCAUGAUGCUGGAAAGAUUCUACCCACUGUAUACUGACGACUCACUCCGGUUCGGGCGAAGAUGGUCGUGGCUGAGGGGAAGCACUCCUCACUUUAUCCCUCACAAAAGGAACGGAGCAACUGAGCCCCAAAAGCUGCGCACGGCCAGUUAAAAUAUUGGUUUGCUAUGCGUCUUUGUAUUCACUGGUGCUGAUGCGAGUUUUCACGUCCUUUUGUUGUCACCGUCACGCCUCAAAAACGAGAUUUCAGUCUCUCCACCCUGACAUUCCCCUAGUCCAGUCACACCUUUCAGCGUCUUGCAGGGUUCGUCUUCACCAUAAUGACAUUCCGACAAAUCCCAUUUAAUGUGCAGUUUGCAGUAGACUACAUCGUCGCAUUUCUCCAAGUUUCAGUGAAAGUAUACAGUCUGUGGUUCGUGGUCAUCGUAAAGCGGAUUGUAAUGCCCAUUAAUAGUUCAUGAAUUUGGUUUUAUCUUGAACAAAGAAACUUGUACAAAAUAUAAUCUCAAAAUGCAGGUCCUUUGUUCCCGCUCAACCUGCGAGCGUUCCCUCCUCAGUUCGCGUGUUGUAUAUCAGUUAGCCUAUGUCAGACCACACUGCUCUGAAGCCUCGCCUGGACCUUUGCUCUUGGAACCUUUCAUUGUUUUACUCUGUUAGCACCUCACCAUCGAUGAGCUAGAGAGUGGUCCCGGGCGUGAAGCUCCGGUACACUUCAAUAAGCGCUAUGAAACUGUCCAUGCCACGCCCAUCCAUUCAUAAAGUGGGAGAUCAGCUCUUUCACUCGC
ensembl:lncRNA